rnacentral:rRNA from 1 species
UAGGGAAUCUUCCGCAAUGGACGCAAGUCUGACGGAGCAACGCCGCGUGAGUGAAGAAGGAAUUCGGUUCGUAAAACUCUGUUGUUAGAGAAGAACAGCGCAUAGAGUAACUGUUAUGCGUGUGACGGUAUCUAACCAGAAAGCCACGGCUAACUACGUGCCAGCAGCCGCGGUAAUACGUAGGUGGCAAGCGUUGUCCGGAUUUAUUGGGCGUAAAGCGAGCGCAGGCGGUCAAUUAAGUCUGAUGUGAAAGCCCCCGGCUCAACCGGGGAGGGUCAUUGGAAACUGGUUGACUUGAGUGCAGAAGAGGAGAGUGGAAUUCCAUGUGUAGCGGUGAAAUGCGUAGAUAUAUGGAGGAACACCAGUGGCGAAGGCGACUCUCUGGUCUGUAACUGACGCUGAGGUUCGAAAGCGUGGGUAGCAAACAGG